CGCGGAGAGACCUAACUGGCCCUUACAUUCGAGAACUUUCCACAGAUAGAUUUGUGUCUUUUGCGAACUCGAACACAGGUGCUGCAUGGCUGUCGUCAGCUCGUGUCGUGAGAUGUUGGGUUAAGUCCCGCAACGAGCGCAACACUCCUCCUCAGUUGGCAGCACGUAAUGGUGGGAACUCUAAGGAGAGCGCCGGUGACAAACCGGAGGAAGGUGGGGAUGACGUCAAGUCAUCAUGGGCCUUACGGCCAGGGCUACACACGUACUACAAUGGUAGGGACAGAGGGCUGCAAGCCGGCGACGGUAAGCCAAUCCCAGAAACCCUAUCUCAGUCCGGAUUGGAGUCUGCAACUCGACUCCAAGAAGUCGGAAACGCUAGGAAACGCAGAUCAGCAGUGAAGCGGGA
rnacentral:rRNA from 1 species